GGGAGACUGAAACGACGGGUUUGCCUCUAGCUGAAUUGGCUGGUGAGCUCUAGAGAUAGUGAGAGAGCCUGCCUUAAAAAGGAUACGGUGCAGAGUUAAGGGGAAGAAAUCAGUGUUCAGAUCUGGGCUCCACGUGCAUGAGGCCCUGAACUUACGUCUGCGAAUGUGCACGCACGCACGCUCGCACGCACGGACAGAAGCAUUAGAGCUCACCCCUAACUCCUUCAGUUCUACACAGACCUAACUAGUUCCUUCAUUAAAAGGAGCUAAUAGUUUGUAAUUUUGGCAUAUAAUUCUUCCAGCACUGUGCGUGGUUGGUUGUCCUGUUUCAGGGUAACUUGCCCCUGUGCCGUGUCGGGCUUUUAUAUUUUAAUAGGAUUCUUUUCCGUGUUCUGGACCAGCCUGGAUUGGAUUUUGAUGUGCAUCCCAGGCUGACUUCAGAAUUCAUGAUCUUCCUGCCUCAGACUCAUGGCCAACCUCAUCUACAGACUUCUGGGCUACUGUAUGCCAUAGCACAAAAUGAUCUUGGGCAAGGCUUUGGUGUUAUGUCUGGCAACCUCAUGAAGCAAAGCUUGUGUGCUAUUUUGUGUGCUUCAUGGAGGAUUGUGAGAUAAUCUGUGCAUCAGUGGUGCUGUAUGAGCCUUGGAGUUCUAGUGUGUGUCAGACUAUCCUGGUCCUCAGGAGCAAGCUGGGAGGAAGGCAAUGCCUCUUGGGAAGGUGGAGAAUGGAGGUCACACUCAGCAGGAGAGAAGAGCCCAACAGUGUGGAACAGAACCAACAGGGGUUUCGCUCUCCCCUGUGGUAAAAUUCUGGGCGUCAAUGAGAAAACUUGGCAUGGCGACAGUGCCUGAAGCCUGGCUGCUCUGGAUCCCGCCAUUCGCCAGUUGGAAGAAAUGACCUUUGGACUGCC
rnacentral:lncRNA from 1 species